CCCGACUGCUAUUUGGGUGAGGAUAAGCCAUGCGAGUUGAAUGGGAUACCUAAAGUUCCCAUAGCAAACUGCUCAGUAACACAUGAUCAACUUGCCCUAUAGAGAAAAAUAACCUCGGGAAACUGAGGAUAAUGUUUCAUAACUGAAUUGGCUUGAAAAGUUUUUCAGUGAAAGGGAUAAAACAAAUGGUUUUUAUCUGCUAUAGGAUAGGAUCGUGUUCGAUUAUGGUUGUUGGUGAGAUAAUGGCUCACCAAGCCGAUAAUCGAUAGGGGCCGUGAGAGCGGGAGCCCCGAGAUGGGUACUGAGACAACGACCCAGGCCUUACGAGGCGCAGCAGGCGCGGAACCUCCGCAAUACACGAAAGUGUGACGGGGUUACCCAAAGUGUUCAAUUUGAACUGUGGUAGGUGAGUAAUGUCCCCUACUAGAAAGGAGAGGGCAAGGCUGGUGCCAGCCGCCGCGGUAAAACCAGCUCUUCAAAGUGGUCGGGAUAAUAUUGGGCUUAAAGUGUCCGUAGCCGGUUUUAGUAAGUUCCUGGUAAAAUCGGGUAGCUUAACUAUCUGCAUGCUAGGAAUACUGCUAUACUAGAGGGCGGGAGAGGUCUGAGGUACUACAGGGGUAGGGGUGAAAUCUUAUAAUCCUUGUAGGACCACCAGUGGCGAAGGCGUCAGACUGGAACGCGCCUGACGGUGAGGGACGAAAGCCAGGGGAGCGAACCGGAUUAGAUACCCGGGUAGUCCUGGCCGUAAACGAUGCAUACUAGGUGAGGGUACGGCCAUGAGCCGUAUCAGUGCCGUAGGGAAACCGUUAAGUGUGCCGCCUGGGAAGUACGGUCGCAAGGCUAAAACUUAAAGGAAUUGGCGGGGGAGCACCACAAGGGGUGGAGCCUGCGGUUCA
rnacentral:rRNA from 1 species